CCUACGGGAGGCAGCAGUGAGGAAUAUUGGUCAAUGGACGAGAGUCUGAACCAGCCAAGUAGCGUGAAGGAUGACUGCCCUAUGGGUUGUAAACUUCUUUUAUAAAGGAAUAAAACGAGGCACGUGUGCCUUUUUGCAUGUACUUUAUGAAUAAGGAUCGGCUAACUCCGUGCCAGCAGCCGCGGUAAUACGGGGGAUGCAAGCGUUAUCCGGAUUUAUUGGGUUUAAAGGGUGCGUAGGUUGGGAGGUAAGUCAGCGGUGAAAUGCCUGCGCUCAACGGGGUGAAGUGCCAUUGAUACUGCCAUGCUGGAAUGCGGAUGCGGUAGGAGGAAUGUGUGGUGUAGCGGUGAAAUGCAUAGAUAUCACACAGAACACCGAUUGCGAAGGCAUCUCACGAAUCCGCGAUUGACGCUGAUGCACGAAAGCGUGGGUAUCAAACAGGAUUAGAUACCCUUGUAGUC
rnacentral:rRNA from 1 species